CUCUGAAAGGGAGAAGAACAAGAGACCAGUGACUGACUACUUUCAGAUGCUUGUUUCUGAUUGGCCAGUGUCAAGAAGGUGACACUUGAGCAGAAGGCAAAAACUUUGUCCUGG
rnacentral:lncRNA from 11 species